GGGGUUAUAGCUCAGCUGGUUAGAGCGCUACGUUGACAUCGUAGAGGUCAUAGGUUCGAUUCCUAUUAAUCCCACCA
rnacentral:tRNA from 1 species